UACGUAGGUGGCAAGCGUUGUCCGGAUUUACUGGGUGUAAAGGGCGUGUAGCCGGGCUGACAAGUCAGGCGUGAAAAUCCGGGGCUCAACCCCGGAACUGCGUUUGAAACUGUCGGUCUUGAGUAUCGGAGAGGCAGGCGGAAUUCCUAGUGUAGCGGUGAAAUGCGUAGAUAUUAGGAGGAACACCAGUGGCGAAGGCGGCCUGCUGGACGACAACUGACGGUGAGGCGCGAAAGCGUGGGGAGCAAACAGG
rnacentral:rRNA from 1 species